rnacentral:lncRNA from 1 species
UUAGGUUCCUCCACGCCCAUUAGCUCAAGGAAAAGCUAAUUUCUAUAAAUUGGGGAGGCUAAGCUCUUCUUAGAAGCAGCGAGGCUUCCCUGACUCAAACCAAAGAGUGAGCUUAGGAGAGAGGCGGUAGGGAGCAAUGGGAGGGUCCUCUUCCAAAUCCCCGUUUUGCAACUGCUUUUCAGCUCAGUAUGAAGAAGCUGACUCUGAGCCGAGGUGCACCUCAAGUAAAGUCAGGCCCAGUGAUGAGGACCGAGAGGGAUAUGUUGGCGAGCCGGACGUCGACAACAGAGCCUCUGCCUUCAUAGCUAAAUUCCAUGAGAGCCGCUUCAUGGACCCUGAUAAGCUAGUAGUGGCUUAGCUUCUGAUUUCAUAUCCCUAGUUUAUAUGUUUAUUACCACUUAUGAGAGCCGCAGUUUAUUACCACUUAUGUUUAUAUGUUUCCUCCUUCGAUCUGUAGUAGGUUGAUGUGCUUCUUGUAUUCUCGUAUCACCAUCGAGGGAAAUAAUAAGGAUAUCAUGAGAUUUAAUCGUGAGAUAUCGUUCUGUUGGUAUAUUGUGCGUUUGCUUUUAGAUUCUGCAAUAAGGAACGUUUGGAAUCAAAGUUAGCUCUUUACUCAAGACUGUUAAUCCGUUCAAGAUACAAGUUGUUAAUUGAUAGGAAUUGUAUUGCGAUGCGAAGCGCCAUGGUUACAGUUUACCAGAGCGAUGCCAUUUUCAGUGCUCUCUUUGUCGAGUAGCAUCCAGAUGGUGAUCGCCUGUUGGAGUUUUUUGGUUGUUGAUAGCUUGAUAUAAUUUUUUUCAUUAUGUUGCUAUCAUAAAAGAUGCAGUUUUUUUUUCAUUAAGUUUGAACCAUUUUGGCGAAGGAAGAAAAGGCAACUCAGCUUACCAUCAUGCACGGAUGUUUCCACUAAAUAAAUCAGGUGCGGUUGUUAAAUAAACAAUAAAAUGAUGGUAUCAUAACAAGGACAUGGAGAGGCCUUAUUUUCCAUUUCGAAUUUCCUUCAAUACGGGUAUUGACAAAACUAAAGUUAAUCGUUGAGUUCAAGAAGAUGAUAGUGGUAUGAAUCAAGGAUAUAGAAAUGACUGCAUUCUUAGUUGAAAAAUCCAACAUGUCAACUUCAAACAAAAUUCUGAUAACUCGGUCUUCGCUGGAUUUGUGUUCUCAACAUGAAAACAAAGCAGAAGAUCUCUUAGUUCGCGACCGAGUCCAAGGUUCCAUCAACUCGAUGUCCGAGAUGAAAGAUUUGGUGAAUCUUUUCUGGCGUAAAACAAAUGAUAGUUUCAUUAUGGGUUUUCUUCAUGCUUAUUUAUUCCAAAAAUAUCUUUAGUCUUAAGUUAUCAAGGCUCAAGUGAAGCUCGUCUAGUGUUUAUGCUGGCUCAGCCAAUUGCGGGACUCUAAUCAAGUUUACAUAAAAUUAAUUGUGAUAGGAUAUAUUACAGGCUGUAUAGCUGUGAGGGUGAUCUUCAUAUCAAAAGAAAUGGAUUAUUUGUCUCUAAGCUUCAGAUGCUUUCCUGAUUGUCAUUUUAAAUUCUUCGAUUCAACCGGUUUGGGCAUUUUAUUCUUUCUACCAACUUUUGUCAUCUUCUGUCGCUUUUCAUCAUUGCUCGACAACCUUUAAUGGCUGAGAAAGAACCAAUGACUUAAAGCUACUCCGAAAGAAUCAAAUAAAAGAUUGAACUUUACGUUUGCAGUAUGGCUUUGAUCUUAAAAUUUAACUGCUUGUGCUGAUUACGAGAACGCAUGUCACGGCAACUUUUUUUUAUUUAUUUGAAGUACUGGAUGAUACUAAAAGAAUUUCUGGAAUAACUGGUUGAAAACUUGGAGUGGUGGGGAUGAAAUCCCCACUUCUAAGCCAUGGAAUUUUGAAAACCAGAGGCUAGCGUAUCUCAGAUGUUCUUAAAGAGCCGGCCGGGUUGUAUUUUUUCGACUCUGUACCGCAACACCAGAUGCAACAUUGUUGAAUGAUAAAAUAUUUUUAAUAACAGACACAUUUACAUUUAUUUCAAAUUCGUUGGAGCUUAUAUUUUUAUGAAGAUAUGAUGCAUCAUCCAACAUUGCGACCUGGAUUGGUUUAACGGAAUCCAAACUUGACCAAACUAGUUGUCCGGUUCAGCUUCAGCCUUUAUAUUCCUAAGCUGAGUUGGUUUUGGAUGAACGUUACGUUCUAAUCCACACCCCAAUCCAAUCAAACCUAACUUGAAUUUUGCCAGCAUAUCUCCCAAACCAGCACAAUCUAAGGCCGUAAUGAAUCAUAAUUUAGAUCUACAAGACUUAUGAGCAAAUACUUCUCAAGAAAAAACCCUACACAGAUGAACCUAUGUGACCUAUGCCAACCAAACUUCAAUAUUGUUCCAAUUGAGAACAUUGAAGCCAGGCUAUGUCAGAUUAGGUCGGUAUUGGAUGGUUUAUUUAUUUGAUGCGAACUAUUGAAAAUAGAAGAAUGAGAAAAGAUAAUUAUAUUUCUGUGUAUGUAUUACAAUGUACAGGAGCAGUCUUUAUAUAGUACUAGAAGGCUGACUAAGUUUGGUAAUACAAUCUACCUUUAUAGAGGCCGACUAAAUUUGGCACAAUCAGUCUUUAGGAGGCCGACUAAAUUUGGUAAUACAAUCAGCCUUUAUGUAGCACUAGGAGGUCGACAACUAUAUUUGGCACAAUCAACCUUUAGGAGGCCGACUAAGUUUGGUAAUACAAUCAGCCUUUAUGGAGGCCGGCUAAGUUUGGCACAAUUAGCCUUUAGGAGGCUGACUAAGUUUAGCACAAUCAAUCACAAAUCAAUUAAGAUCCUAAUCAAGGAUAUACAUGAAAUGAUCUAGAAUGAUUCUGACAUACUCCCUCAAACUCAAGGUGGUAAAAGUGGAUACCAACUUGAGUUUGGAAACAAGAGAUCGAAAGAUACCAGGAGCAUGCGCUUUGGUGAAGACGUUCGCAAGUUGAUCAGCCAAAAUCAUUGGACAAAGAUGAAGAGUGCCCUCCUGUAAAUGUUGACGCACAAAAUGGCAAUCGAUAUCAAUAUAUUUGGUGCGCUAAUGGAAGAUAUUAUUAUGAGUAAUCUGAAUAGCACUAUGACUGUCGCAAUAAAUAGGAGUGCUCGAUUGCUGAGGAGCACCCAUAUCUUGUAGAAGCCAACAAAGCCAAAGAAGUUUGAAAGUAGUAUCAGUAAGGGCUCGAUACUUAGCCUCAGUGCUAGAGCGAGCAACAACCGUCUGUUUGUUGCUUUUCCAUCCUAUCAAGAUGUCAUCUGAAUAACCAACAAAAGCAAGAUGGGCCCACUCAUCAAUCUUGUUGCCACCUAAUGCUCUGAGGAAUGCUUGUGACAGCAAAGACAUUUUCGUCUCCUAAAGCAUAAAGAUAUCACAAUUUGAGAACACAAUGAGGUCCCUGAUCGCACUAUGUUUUCCAGCAGCCGCAGCUCCUCUGAUAUUUCAAGAUAUGACAAUCAUUGAGAAUAAGCAAUCCUCAACUCACUAAGGAAGUGAGAGUUCCUACCCCCAUCACAAUUUACGAACAAUAUAGAGAGAUGAAAUAGAGACCACUGAUUUUAGCAGCAAGUAAAAAAGCAAUCCACUCGAAGCAACAACCAAGUGUGAUCAUCAGAAGCAAGAGACAAUCGCAGUCAUUUGAGCGAUCAGUAGAUUCAUGAAGCUCCCAAAGAGAAGGCCAGCAAUCACGGGGAUAGCAUUGGCAGAGCUACAAUAUCUAAGAAAGAGAUAGCCUGAGUAACUACAACUACAAAGCAGCAGUCCAACAUCAAAUUGCCACAACAACAGAAAGGAAGAACAAAGAACAAAAGGAAGAGGAAUCAAUGGAUUUUGAGUAUCAUCGUUACCUUUCAGUCAAUAGCUUCAGCAACUCCUUUUAAGUAGCGGCAAUUGCAACCUUCUCUUUCUCCAGUUUAAUCGAUGUGUUCACCACCUCCUUAGCUACUUCUUCAGAGAAAGUAAAUCUCCAAGCCUUCCCCUAUUCUAAAAGAAGAUGGUGAGGAACAAAGCUCAAUGGGCGUGUAGCAUGGAGAAACUUGGGUUCAGCGUCACGAGUGAAGACUUUCUUUUUUUACCUUGUUGAGAUGAGUUUGGAGGUGGCUGCCUUCACAGUCCUCGCAGCCUUCAGCCAGGAGGAUUUAUGGAUUGUGGGUGCUUCAGAGAUUUGAGCCUAGUAUGAGACUUUAGAUCUCAAUUUAAUGGUAUAGAGAACUAAAUAACACACAGCGAGCGAGCGAGCGCGCGAGCGAGAGAGAGAGAGAGAGAGAGAGAGUAUUUGAUCCCAAAUGCGUUUUUUCCCUUUCUGAGAAGAAAGGUGUUUGGUCCUGAAUGUUUAUCAUAAAAUCAAUGAUAGCCCUCUUAAAAUUAAAAUCAUAUUUUUUUAAUUAUAUUCUACAGUCUAAAAUACCUAUAAAUUACGAAUUACUUGUUUGAAGAUCUUUUACCUCAAUCUCAAUUUUAUCAUCAGUCAAUAUGUAUUUCAAGAUGUACAAAUCCACAUUAAUAGUUUGGAUUGCCAAUACUUUAUUAUUUAUUUAUUUAUUUCGGGAGAAGAGAGGGAAUCCUAUUUAUAAUUUAGUUACCCAAGUUUUAAUUCUUGAGACUGCACCACCCAUGACUCAGAAUUUAAAUCUUUGAUUUUUUUUUUGUUUUCAAAGUUUAUGAUUUACAAUAUAGUUUUGCUCAGUAUCUAUGAUUCACUAAUCAUUAUAUAUCCAUUUGAUUUGUCAGCAACAUUGCAGAUUUUUACUUUCAGAGGGCACCGAUUAUUUUUAGUGUAAGAUGUUUAAGAUUAAAUAUUCUUAAAAACAUUUUAGCUUCAUUCUCAAGAAAAUGUGUUCAGGAAGGCGCAGAUAGAGACAAACUCACACACACAUAGAGAGAGAGAGAGAGAGAGAGAGAUGAACACAAGGCAGGUCAGGCGUAGCUUGUGAUUGGCUUGUCCAUAUUUUCAGUGUCUUAAGUUCAACUAAUUUAUCGCAUAACCAAGCCUCCAUAUAUUAUGAUCCUAUAUAGAGGGAUUCUCUUUAUUCAUUCGGCUACAAAUUGGCGAUGCAUAUGUCUUGAGUGUUAGACUUAGGGCUUGCUUGAUCCACACAAAAAAUGUUCUCUAAUUGAAAUAUUUUUCUGAAAAAGUUGAUGCUUAGAUAUGUGAUAUCUGAAAAAAUAAUUUUUGCAUUUUGGUUGACUAUGAAAAAAUGACAGAUUUUAGAUAGCUUAUUUUGGUCGAGCCUCUACAUUUCUAUGAAGUCGUAUAAAAUAUAUGCUAUAUUCUUAAAAUAAAAAAAAAAUUAUCUCAUUCUAUCUGAAUGCGCGUAGAUUUUUGUGUUUUUUGAAAGGAAAGGUAUGGGUAUGCCUUUUUAGCUCUCGCCAGUUCUUACAAAACAGAGUUUAUGAUACCGAAUGAAAAGCAAAGGAUGUCGAAAAGAUAAAUGUACCGUGUGCGGAGAUAUUAUUCCAACAUCCCGGUCAAGUUCGAAAGCAGAGGACUGAAAAGCAUUUUGAAUAAUUUCGCUUGGGUGUAUCUGGACCACCCGAUAUCUGCGAUUCGAAUGGCCUGCAUUUGUACAGAAUCUUGUUAGGUUCCCUCCACCCCCAUUAGCUCAAAGAAAAUCUAAUUUCUAUAAAUUGGGGAGGCUAAGCUCUUCUUUGAAGCUGCGAGGCAUCCCUGACUCAAACCAAAGAGUGAAAUUGGGAGAGAGACGGUAGGGAGCAAUGGGAGGGUCCUCUUCCAAAUCCUCGUUUUGCAACUGCUUUUCAGCUCAGUAUGAAGAAGCUGACUCUGAGCCGAGGUGCACCACAAGUAAAGUCAGGCCCAGUGAUGAGGACAGAGAGGGAUUUGUUGGCGAGCCGGACGUCGACCACAAAGCCUCUGCCUUCAUAGCUAAAUUCCAUGAGAGCCGCUUCAUGGACCCUGAUAAGAUAGUAGUGGCUUAGCUUCUGAAAUCAUAUCCCUAGUUAUCCUUGACGCAGUUUGUUACCAUUUAUAUUUAUAUGUUUCCUCCUUCGAUCUGUAGUAGGUUGAUGAGCUCCUUGUAUUCUGUUAUCACCAUCGAGGGAAAUAAGAAGGAUAUCAUGAGAUUUAAUUGUGAGAUACUGUUCUGUUGGCAUAUUGUGCGUUUGCUUAUAGAUUCUGCAAUGAGGAAG